GCUGGGUGUGGUGGUGGGCACCUGUAAUCCCAGCUACUUGGGAGGCUGAGGCAGGAGAAUCGCUUGAACCUGGGAGGCGGAGGUUGCAGUGAGCUGAGAUUGCGCCACUGCACUCCAGCCUGGGCUACAGAGUGAGACUCUGUCUCAA
rnacentral:SRP_RNA from 1 species